rnacentral:rRNA from 1 species
AUUGAACGCUGGCGGCAGGCUUAACACAUGCAAGUCGAGCGAGCGGCGGACGGGUGAGUAAUGUCUGGGAAACUGCCUGAUGGAGGGGGAUAACUACUGGAAACGGUAGCUAAUACCGCAUACCAUCAGAUGUGGCCAGAUGGGAGUAGCUAGUAGGUGGGGUAAAGGCGUAACUAGGCGACGAUCACUAGCUGGUCUGAGAGGAUGAACAGCCACACUGGAACUGAGACCCGUCACAGAGUCCUACGGGGGGCAGCAGUGGGGAAUUUUGCACAAUGGGCGCAAGCCUGAUGCAGCCAUGCCGCGUGUGUGAAUAAGGCCUUCGGGUUGUAAAGCACUUUCAGCGAGGAGGCGUUACUCGCAGAAGAAGCACCGGCUAACUCCGUGCCAGCAGCCUCGGUAAUUC